rnacentral:rRNA from 1 species
AUGAUUGCUGAAUUCGAUCAUGUGAUGCAAGAACAUAUUAGGCGCAUUCAAAGUAAUGAAAUACAUCAUCAUUAUCUUGGCCACACUAUUCAGAAUGAGUUGAUUUCUCUCCUUGCUGAUGCCGUGAAAAAGGUUAUCUUACGCACCAUCAAGGAUGCCAAGUAUUUCUCUGUUAUAUUGGACUGUACCCCGGAUGUGAGCCAUGAAGAGCAAAUGACGCUAAUUGUGCGUUGUGUCAAUAUGUCAAGUAACAUUCCGAGAGUGGAGGAGUUUUUCCUAGAGUUCUUAAAGGUUGGUGACACAUCAGGAUUGGGUCUUUUUAAUGUACUGAUGGAUACAUUGGAUUCUUUUGAUUUGAAUGUCGCCGAUGUGAGAGGGCAAGGUUAUGACAAUGGCUCCAACAUGAAGGGAAAAAAUCAAGGUGUUCAGACUCGAUUGCUCAAAGUUAACCCCAAAGCAUUAUACAUGCCAUGUGCAUGUCAUAGUUUGAAUCUCACUCUUUGCGACAUGGCGAAAUCUUGCGAACAAGCUAUUUCAUUUUUUGGCAUUAUACAACGUAUAUACGUAUUGUUUGCACGUUCUACUAAAAGGUGGAAGAUUUUGCUUGAUAAUGUUCCAAAUCUGACUCUCAAACCUUUAUCUAAUACUCGUUGGGAGAGUAGAAUAAAGAGUGUGCAACCUAUAAGGUACCAAACUCAGCAAGUAAGAUCAGCUUUGAAGGAACUAGAGAAGUCUUCUACUGAUGAUCCAGCUGCAGUAAGUGAUGCUCAAUCUUUGUUCAGUGCACUUGGGAAAUUUGAGACUUUGGUUGGUAUGGUUAUUUGGCAUGAUAUUUUAUUUUCUGUCAAUAUGGUGAGCAAAAAGUUACAGGAAAAAAUUGUGUGCAUCGAUGCUACUCUCAAACACAUUGAAGGGGUCAUUUCAUAUUUUGAGAAGUAUAGAGAUGAAGGCUUCUAUUCUAGUAUUGAGAGUGCCAAACUCAUUGCAGCGAAUAUGGACAUAGAGCCAAAAUUUCGUACAAAACGUCAAAGUAAAAGGAAGAGGCAUUUUGAUGAAAUCAAUGAUGUAGAUGAAGAUCCACAACUGUCAGCUAUUGAAUCCUUCAGAGUUACUUACUUUCUUGUCAUUGUUGACACUGCAAUUGCUUCAUUGAAUAGUCGAUUUGAGUAG